GUGCUCACUUUGGCAGUACAUAUACUAAAAUUGGAACGAUACAGAGAUUAGCAUAGCCCCCGUGCAAGGAUGACCUAUAAGUUUAGGAAGCGUUUCAAAUGUUU
ensembl:snRNA U6 U6 spliceosomal RNA